GGUGCUAUACAUGCAGUCGUACGCUUCUUUUUCCACCGGAGCUUGCUCCACCGGAAAAAGAGGAGUGGCGAACGGGUGAGUAACACGUGGGUAACCUGCCCAUCAGAAGGGGAUAACACUUGGAAACAGGUGCUAAUACCGUAUAACAAUCGAAACCGCAUGGUUUUGAUUUGAAAGGCGCUUUCGGGUGUCGCUGAUGGAUGGACCCGCGGUGCAUUAGCUAGUUGGUGAGGUAACGGCUCACCAAGGCCACGAUGCAUAGCCGACCUGAGAGGGUGAUCGGCCACAUUGGGACUGAGACACGGCCCAAACUCCUACGGGAGGCAGCAGUAGGGAAUCUUCGGCAAUGGACGAAAGUCUGACCGAGCAACGCCGCGUGAGUGAAGAAGGUUUUCGGAUCGUAAAACUCUGUUGUUAGAGAAGAACAAGGAUGAGAGUAACUGUUCAUCCCUUGACGGUAUCUAACCAGAAAGCCACGGCUAACUACGUGCCAGCAGCCGCGGUAAUACGUAGGUGGCAAGCGUUGUCCGGAUUUAUUGGGCGUAAAGCGAGCGCAGGCGGUUUCUUAAGUCUGAUGUGAAAGCCCCCGGCUCAACCGGGGAGGGUCAUUGGAAACUGGGAGACUUGAGUGCAGAAGAGGAGAGUGGAAUUCCAUGUGUAGCGGUGAAAUGCGUAGAUAUAUGGAGGAACACCAGUGGCGAAGGCGGCUCUCUGGUCUGUAACUGACGCUGAGGCUCGAAAGCGUGGGGAGCAAACAGGAUUAGAUACCCUGGUAGUCCACGCCGUAAACGAUGAGUGCUAAGUGUUGGAGGGUUUCCGCCCUUCAGUGCUGCAGCUAACGCAUUAAGCACUCCGCCUGGGGAGUACGACCGCAAGGUUGAAACUCAAAGGAAUUGACGGGGGCCCGCACAAGCGGUGGAGCAUGUGGUUUAAUUCGAAGCAACGCGAAGAACCUUACCAGGUCUUGACAUCCUUUGACCACUCUAGAGAUAGAGCUUCCCCUUCGGGGGCAAAGUGACAGGUGGUGCAUGGUUGUCGUCAGCUCGUGUCGUGAGAUGUUGGGUUAAGUCCCGCAACGAGCGCAACCCUUAUUGUUAGUUGCCAUCAUUCAGUUGGGCACUCUAGCAAGACUGCCGGUGACAAACCGGAGGAAGGUGGGGAUGACGUCAAAUCAUCAUGCCCCUUAUGACCUGGGCUACACACGUGCUACAA
rnacentral:rRNA from 1 species